rnacentral:misc_RNA from 1 species
GAUGAAGAACGUAGCGAAAUGCGAUAAGUAAUGUGAAUUGCAGAAUUCAGUGAAUCAUCGAAUCUUUGAACGCACAUUGCGCCCGCCAGUAUUCUGGCGGGCAUGUCUGUUCGAGCGUCAUUUCAACCAUCAAGCCCCAGGCUUGUGUUGGGGACCUGCGGCUGCCGCAGGCCCUGAAAACCAGUGGCGGGCUCGCUGUCACACCGGGCGUAGUAGAUUUUAUCUCGCUCAGGGCGUGCUGCGGGUUCCGGCCGUUAAAAAGCCUUUUUUACCCAAGGUUGACCUCGCAUCAGGUAGGAAGACCCGCUGAACUUAAGCAUAUCAAUAAGCGGAGGA